GUUAAGUAAGUUUAGGGUUUGGGGGUUAACGGGGGGUAACCCGGUACCCCUAAACCGGAACGGAACCGAAACGUACUACGUAAGGUACCGGAACCCGUAACGUAGGAAGGGUUAGGGUUAACGGGAACCCGGACCCAACUUAGGUACGGUACGUAGGGAUACGGGCCCCCAGACUCCCUACGGGAGGCAGCAGUCGGGAAUAUUGCGCAAUGGAGGAAACUCUGACGCAGUGACGCCGCGUGCAGGAAGAAGGUUUUCGGAUUGUAAACUGCUUUAGACAGGGGAAGAUACAAGACAGUACCUGUAGAAUAAGCUCCGGCUAACUACGUGCC
rnacentral:rRNA from 1 species